rnacentral:rRNA from 1 species
CAAUAGCGUAUAUUAAAGUUGUUGCGGUUAAAAAGCUCGUAGUUGGAUUUCUGCCGAGGACGACCGGUCCGCCUCUGGGUGAGUAUCUGGCUUGGCCUGGGCAUCUUCUUGGAGAACGUAGCUGCACUUGACUGUGUGGUGCGGUAUCCAGGACUUUUACUUUGAGGAAAUUAGAGUGUUUCAAGCAGGCAUGCGCCUUGAAUACAUUAGCAUGGAAUAAUGGAAAAGGACUUCAACCUCUUCUGUUGGUCUGAGAGGCUGUAGUAAUGAUUAAUAGGGAUAGUUGGGGCAUUAGGUACUUAACUUGUCAGAGGUGAAAUUGCUAUCCCGAUUUUGUUAAAGACUAACUUAUGCGAAAGCAUUUGCCAAGGAUGUUUUUCAUUAAUCAAGAACGAAAGUUAGGGGAUCAAAGAUGAU